AACGUAGGUGGCGAGCGUUAUCCGGAUUUACUGGGCGUAAAGGGUGUGCAGGCUGCCCCUCAAGUGGUGUAUGAAAGGGCUCGGCUCAACCGGGCUAGGUUAUGCCAGACUGAGGGGCUAGAGAGCGAGAGCGGGACGUGGAAUUCCAGGUGUAGCGGUGAAAUGCGUAGAUAUCUGGAGGAACACCGGUGGCGAAGGCGGCCUUCUGGACAAUGACUGACGCUAAAACACGAAAGCGUGGGGAGCAAACAGG
rnacentral:rRNA from 1 species